rnacentral:rRNA from 1 species
GUCUACGGCCACGCUACCCUGAACAAGCCUGAUCUCGUCUGAUCUCGGAAGCUAAGCAGGGUCGGGCCUGGUUAGUACUUGGGUGGGAGACCACCUAGGAAGACCAGGUGCUGUAGGCA